rnacentral:rRNA from 1 species
UAGGGAAUAUUAGAAAUGGCCGAAAGUCUGAUCUAGCAACACCGCGUGUGCGAAGAAGGCCUUCGGGUUGUAAAGCACUUUUUGGAAGGAUUAGGAAGGAAUGUACUUCCAGAAUAAGUCUCGGCUAACUACGCGCCAGCAGCCGCGGUAACACGUAGGAGGCAAACGUUAUCCGGAUUUACUGGGCGUAAAGCGCGUGUAGGUGGUUCUGUAAGUAGGGCGUGAAAGCUCCUGGCUCAACUGAGAGAGGCCGUUCCAAACUGCAGAGCUAGAGGAUGGUAGAGGGAGGUGGAAUUCCGGGUGUAGCGGUGGAAUGCGCAGAUAUCCGGAGGAACACCAGUGGCGAAAGCGGCCUCCUGGACCAUUCCUGACACUCAGACGCGAAAGCUAGGGUAGCAAACGG